rnacentral:rRNA from 1 species
CAUGCUUUACACAUGCAAGUCGAACGAGGCCUGGGGGGCAACUCCCAGAGUCGAGUGGCGGACGGGUGAGUAACACGUGGGUAACCUGCCCGGAAGUGGGGAAUACCGCGGGGAAACGGAAGCUAAUACCGGAUGAUGACGUAAGUCCAAAGAUUUAUCGCCCAAGGAUGAGCCCGCGUAGGAUUAGCUAGUUGGUGAGGUAAAGGCUAACCAAGGCGACGAUCCUUAGCUGGUCUGAGAGGAUGAUCAGCCACACUGGGACUGAGACACGGCCCAGACUCCUACGGGAGGCAGCAGUAGGGAAUAUUGGACAAUGGGCGCAAGCCUGAUCCAGCAAUGCCGCGUGAGUGAUGAAGGCCUUAGGGUUGUAAAGCUCUUUUACCCGGGAUGAUAAUGACAGUACCGGGAGAAUAAGCUCCGGCUAACUCCGUGCCAGCCGCCGCAGUAAUAC